rnacentral:rRNA from 1 species
ACGGGAGGCAGCAGUGGGGAAUAUUGCACAAUGGGGGAAACCCUGAUGCAGCGACGCCGCGUGAGUGAAGAAGUAUUUCGGUAUGUAAAGCUCUAUCAGCAGGAAAGAAAAAAAUGACGGUACCUGACUAAGAAGCCCCGGCUAACUACGUGCCAGCAGCCGCGGUAAUACGUAGGGGGCAAGCGUUAUCCGGAUUUACUGGGUGUAAAGGGAGCGCAGGCGGUUUUUUAAGUCUGAUGUGAAAGCCCGUGGCUCAACUGCGGGACUGCAUUGGAAACUGGAGAACUAGAGUGUCGGAGGGGCAAGUGGAAUUCCUAGUGUAGCGGUGAAAUGCGUAGAUAUUAGGAGGAACACCAGUGGCGAAGGCGGCUUGCUGGACGAUAACUGACGCUGAGGCUCGAAAGCGUGGGGAGCAAGCAGGAUUAGAUACCCUGGUA